rnacentral:lncRNA from 1 species
ACAUUUUUUUUAAAUGAAGUUAAGCUCUAGCUUCUCCAGUCCCCUGUACUCACCACUUUUGUUCCUUUUUAAGCAGUCACUGCUUCCGCAGGAGUCAAAAUAACUUCUGGAACUGGAGUGCAAACAGGCUCCACCUUGGUUCCAGCUGGAGUGCCAACAAGACCACAAGUACCCCAGUCAGAAACCACUGUCGUGGCAACCAGAGAAGUAGAAACUGA